AUUGAACGCUGGCGGCAGGCCUAACACAUGCAAGUCGAGCGAGCGGCGGACGGGUGAGUAAUGUCUGGGAAUCUGCCUGAUGGUGGGGGAUAACUACUGGAAACGGUAGCUAAUACCGCAUACCAUCGGAUGUGCCCAGUUGGGAUUAGCUUGUAGGUGGGGUAACGGCUCACCAAGGCGACGAUCCCUAACUGGUCUGAGAGGAUGACCAGCCACACUGGAACUGAGACACGGUCCAGACUCCUACGGGAGGCAGCAGUGGGGAAUAUUGGACAAUGGGCGCAAGCCUGAUGCAGCAAUGCCGCGUGUGUGAAGAAGGCCUUCGGAUUGUAAAGUACUUUCAGCUGGGAGGCGUUACCAGCAGAAGAAGCACCGGCUAACUCCGUGCCAGCCGCCGCGGUAAUAC
rnacentral:rRNA from 1 species